UACAGAGGUCUCAAGCGUUGUUCGGAUUCAUUGGGCGUAAAGGGUGCGUAGGCGGCGCGGUAAGUCGGGUGUGAAAUUCGAGGACUUAACUCGAAACUGCAUUCGAUACUGCCGUGCUUGAGGACUGGAGAGGAGACUGGAAUUUACGGUGUAGCGGUGAAAUGCGUAGAUAUCGUAAGGAAGACCAGUGGCGAAGGCGGGUCUCUGGACAGUUCCUGACGCUGAGGCACGAAGGCCAGGGGAGCAAACGGG
rnacentral:rRNA from 1 species